UGAAAACCCACCAGCAAGAAAAUAACGCUGAACGUUUCUCAGAGAGCAAAAGGGAGAAGCUGAGGUUAAUUCUUCUACAUCUCGAAAGCUCCGUUCAAAGCCAAAUCCAAUAUUCAGCAAGCAGCUUAUGUUUAUGCAACCAGUCCGAAGCUCCUUCUGCGCAGGAAAUAGAAGCCCCCCCCCGUUACGUUUCUUCUGUAAUUACAAGUGUAUAAAAAAUAAAAUCCAAAUAAUUACAGGUUGCCUCUUGGCUCCUAGUUUUGUGUUUCAAUGAGUGCUAUGGUAACAGGCGAUGUGAAAUUAUUAUUAUUAUUAUUGUUCUAUUGUUGCAAAGUUCGACACACUUAGGGGCCUAUUCACUAAAGCAAGAGUUUGCGUGUGAGCUGCAGGGACCAGACACCUUUCAACUAACUUCACUUUGCAACAUGAAGGGCCAACCCAACGCUUGCCCUGUGUAAGCCGGGCCAAUCGUUGUGAGAAGGGGAUUAUCUUCUAAACGCUGCGCUAUGUUCUACAAUCUCGAGAACCUCGGGUCACGGCCUUCCCCUCAAUCAUUUCUACAGCCAACUGCGCAUGCUGCGUCUUAGUAUUCAGCGCUAUAGUAAGAUAUGCAUCGGCUUGCGUUUUCCACUGAACCCUGUUAUUUUGGAGUCCGUCGUACAUCGGGGUAAUUUCUUUGUGAAACCGGGAGAAUUCCUAGAGAUCGUAAACGGA